AUUACAGGUGCCCGCCACCAUGCCCGCCUAUUUUUUUUCUAUUUUUAGUAGAGAUGGGGUUUCACCAUGUUGGCCAGGCUAGUCUCGAACUCCUGACCUCAGUUGAUCAACCUGCUUCGGCCUCCCAAAGUGCUGGGAUUACAGGCGUGAGCCACCAUGCCCGGCCUCCAGCAUUUACUUCUAAUGCUUCACUCAUUCAGGAAAUAUGAUUGAAUUUAUAUUGCUAAGGCAGCAACUGGG
rnacentral:lncRNA from 10 species